CCCCCCCCCGGCCCCUCUGAGCCCCCCCAAGAGUCGGGAGACCCCAAAGGCCAUGUCAGGUGACUACGAGGAGGACGUUUGCCGCAGUGCGCUGCGCCUGGUGCACGAGCUCUGCUUCGCCCCCCGUGCCCGCCCGCCACGCGCGCUGCCUCGAGUUCACCGACCUGCUGCGGCACCGCGGCCACCCCCGGCCCGCCGACACAGAGGUGUCGGUCAGCCUCCUGUCCGUCAUUGUCACCUUCUGCGGCCUGGUCCUGCUCGGGUGUCU